rnacentral:snRNA from 1 species
AGUAAGGAUUUAGAAUUGUUAAG